UGGGGAAUAUUGCACAAUGGGCGCAAGCCUGAUGCAGCCAUGCCGCGUGUGUGAAGAAGGCCUUCGGGUUGUAAAGCACUUUCAGCGGGGAGGAAGGCGGUGAGGUUAAUAACCUCACCGAUUGACGUUACCCGCAGAAGAAGCACCGGCUAACUCCGUGCCAGCAGCCGCGGUAAUACGGAGGGUGCAAGCGUUAAUCGGAAUUACUGGGCGUAAAGCGCACGCAGGCGGUCUGUCAAGUCGGAUGUGAAAUCCCCGGGCUCAACCUGGGAACUGCAUUCGAAACUGGCAGGCUAGAGUCUUGUAGAGGGGGGUAGAAUUCCAGGUGUAGCGAUGAAAUGCGUAGAGAUCUGGAGGAAUACCGGUGGCGAAGGCGGCCCCCUGGACGAAGACUGACGCUCAGGUGCGAAAGCGUGGGGAGCAAACAGG
rnacentral:rRNA from 1 species